GGUUAAGCGACUAAGCGUACACGGUGGAUGCCCAGGCAGUCAGAGGCGAUGAAGGACGUGCUAAUCUGCGAUAAGCGUCGGUAAGGUGAUAUGAACCGUUAUAAC
rnacentral:rRNA from 1 species